UUUCAUUCCGACGUUUUUUCUUUCAUUCUACGGGUUUCUCAUUGUAACUCUCAACUAUUCAUCAAUUUUCAUCGCUCAUCUAAAGGGAAUCUUCAAUGAAAUCAAUUCUUUUCGUUUGUCGAAUUCGCAAUGGAAAAACCUUACUUUUGGUUUGUCGAUUUUUGCAGAUAUGUUUGAGUAAAUAUGAGUUCUCUUGCUGAAAACAACAACAAUGAAGAUUACCAGGUUGAUUAGAUCAUAUUAUACUACAAUGAUCGAUGCUCAAAAAUAUGCUUCUGAGCCAUUGUAGAUUCAAAUAUUGCUGACCCAUUGUUGGCUGAAUUUGACAAAAUUUACAAUUAAGACAAACGUAAUUCGAAUGCUCAAUAAUUGGGACUUGCCAACGAUUUGGAGCAAGGUAGUGCAUCUCCAAUGCUACAUUAGUGUCAUAGCACGCUGAGUGAUUUUCCUAAUCUUUCUAAAUACCUUUUUUAAUAGUGGGACAAAUUUCUUUUGCUCGGUGAUUCUACAAACUCUUGCUGCUACUAUACCACUGUCACUUGCUGCUCUAUAAACAAGAUAAUGGUGGCUUCUACAUUAUUAUUGGUUCGUCUCUUGAAGGUUGAAGGCACUGGUGGCUAUUCUUAAGGUUCAGCCAAGACUAUACAUUCGAAGCAAGCAAGAUCAUAACUAUAUGAGGAACAUUUUCAAAGUUGAAGGCACUGGUGGCUAUUCUUAAGGUUCAGCCAAGACUAUACAUUGCCCUAUGGAAGAAGAAUCCCAUAAAGAAAUCUCUUUAGCAUUUUUACAUGGAUCCAAGUAAAUUUAUGGGAAAUUGAGGGGAUCAAAUUUGAAGGGUCGCCACAAGUCAAUUUGAUCUCGUUGAAGUGGAUGAUGAAGAGUUUUUGAACUAUUGUAAAAGUUUGAGUACAUUAUAUUUAAUUUUGUGAAAUAUAUUCAUUGCUAGAAUAUAUUGAACUAUUGUAAGAGUACUUUUCGAGCUAUUGUGUACACAUAUUUAGAAUAUUGCUUUAUAAGUAUGUGUAUGUACACAAGACAUACUAUCUUUUGAAGUUUA